AUUUCGAAAAUAUCCUCUAUAUUUUUUUAGAAUGACGCGCUUACCCCUGGCGCCCCCCAAACCCAAGACAACCCUACCAGACGCAAAAACCCCCCAAACCCAUGAAACUCUCUGCUCUUGUGAAAGCAAAAACCUUUUUUGUUAACUAAAAACCUUUAUUGUUUCAGGGUUACAGGUGCCUACCAUUUCGUUCCUUCUUUCUUCAUCGAAGGGACUUUAGGAAUGGCUUUGGGGGAUAACUACGACAAGGCGUAUUGGAAGGAGCCAACCUUAUAAAAGCUCUUGUUGGACCUCUGUAUUGACGAGGUGACUACCUAUGGAAGGCAAGGGGGUUCAUUAAGGAAGGAUUCAUGGACACGGAUACAAACGAAAUUACAUGAAGGGAUUCAAAAGAACUUUUCACAGAAACAACUAAAAAUGGGUUUGACUACUUGAAGAGAAAAUAUCAACUGUGAGUUAGACUAAUUAAUAGGACGGGUAAUGGAUACAACCCAAUUGCGGGUACAGUGGACUGGACCGAUGAGCAAUGGGAAGAUUUCCUAAAGAUAACUAGUCUGCUAUUUUGUUGUUGGGUAUAUCUUUGUGUAUAGGGUCUAAUAGAGUGGAAUGUUUGUUUACAUGGCAAUAGGCAUAUCCAAAUGCAAAAGUAUUAAGGUAUGCGGGGCUGUAGUUUGCUGAUGAAUGCAAAUUGUUGUUCAAUGAAGCUUGUGCAACUGGAGAAGUUGGCUGGACUCCAGUGGCAAAUAGGCCAAGACCAUUGGGCUCUACCAGUAUGCCAGAUGCUUCUCCACCUGAAUUAGAGGGUGAGACCCCAAUGGGUGGUCCUAUUGAGCUUGACGACACGCCUAUCACACCACCCACAAGGCCCCAGACUCAAACACAACAAACAUUUGAAGAGUCUACAGGAAGGGCACUAGUGAUAUUGAUAACAAGAUGAAGAGGCUUCUUGACAUCCUGAUUGCUGAGGAUGGAGGCCCAACUGUAGAAGAUUGCAUGCAGAAACUUCAUGAAAUUGGAUGGACAGCUAGAACUCCUCUAUACUUUGAGGCUUCUAUUGUCUUUGCAGAAAACUCGAAGGCUAGGAAGGAGUGGAUCCGUUGGUGUGGAACAUGUGACACACCCAACGAGGAGGAGGUGAAAAGGUGCAUUGUGGGCUAGGAGGAUGAACAUCUCGUAGGAUGACUCGACAUAAUUUUUGGAUAUUUGGAUAGUUUUGGAUAUUUUUUGGAUAGUUAUGGGUGGACAUAUUUUUGGAUAGUUUUUGGAGAUUUUUAUGGAUACUUAUGGGUGAACAUAUUUUUGGAUAGUUAUGGGUGGAUAUAUUUUUGGAUACUUUUAUGGAUACUUGUGGAUGAACAUAUGCAAUAUGUUUUUUUUUUUGGAUAUUUUGGAAAUGUAUAGAUAAUAUUAUUGUAUGACACUCGGUGACUUGGCAUAGUUGAUAUUUUCAUAUUUCUCUUUGUCAUGCUUGAA